UUUAUUCACAAGUGGAAUUCAGAUAUUUUGUGGAUCAAACCUUCCAGGAAGUGAAUUCAAUCGUAAUUUGAAAGUAUUCAAGCAUUUUUUAAGUGAAUGUGAUUUAAAAAGUGUUCACGCCUUUUUAAAAUAAUAUCCAUGUAUUUAAAAAAUAAAUAUACAAUUAGAAGUGAGUGGGGGUACGACACUUUUCAGAUUAAUUAAGGAAUCAAUCUCACAAUGGUGGAUGCUUGAUGCAGCAGAGGAUUACAGGUGUUUUGUCGACAGUUUCAAUUUAGCCAAGCGGUUGCCAUCAUCGUGAGACUGCCGACUGGAGGAACUACAAUGGCUCUUUGUUCUAGCCAUAUCCGAUCCCCUGGGCUGGAGCUUUACGGUCACCUAAAGCGCACGGUGCAAGCGGUGUGCCAUUGGUGUCGGCCUGGACGGGGACACGACCACCAGUAUGUGCUCGUUGUCGCGCUCCCGGAACACCUCAAGCAGCUCCUGCCCAUGCAUGACGGCACUGUAACAAUAUCGUUAGAUGUGAAUCGCAUCAAAAUCGGAAUGAGUUCUGAUGAGGUCUCGAGGUGUGGCUUCUGCUGAAUUUUCGACACCACCAACUCCUGGAGGGGAGGCGGGACGGCCGGUAGCGGCAUUCUAUUCGGGGCUGCGUUGAUCUGGUGAUGCUGGAGCCCGACAACGGGAAACAUCACCUCGGCCAAGACAUUUCAAGUAGCCAAUUUACCUUUCUCUCCCUAUGGAUUUCUUACUCUGCUAUCAGUAUCACUGGGCUUGGGGUUUAGAUUUUGUUAAUAUCAAAAUCUGGGUACUCACCAGCAAACGUGUUGUUGAUCUAUUUACUUAGUCAAGUUCAUUUUUGUUAUACCCUGCAAAAGUAGUUCAUUUCUGCUAUGUUAUUCCGUCAAGUUUCAGAUUAUAGCCCUGAUUAAAUGGCAAUGUUAUUCUCCAUAACCUACUAAUGUCAGA